UACGUAGGGUGCGAGCGUUGUCCGGAAUUACUGGGCGUAAAGAGUGUGUAGGCGGUGCUCUAAGUCUGUUGUGAAAUCUCCCGGCUUAACUGGGAGGGUGCGGCGGAGACUGGAGUGCUAGAGUGUGGGAGAGGUAAGCGGAAUUCCUGGUGUAGCGGUGAAAUGCGUAGAUAUCAGGAGGAACACCUGUGGUGUAGACAGCUUACUGGACCACGACUGACGCUGAGACACGAAAGCGUGGGUAGCAAACAGG
rnacentral:rRNA from 1 species